rnacentral:rRNA from 1 species
UACGUAGGGGGCAAGCGUUGUCCGGAAUUAUUGGGCGUAAAGAGCUCGUAGGUGGUUUGUCGCGUUGUCCGUGAAAACUCACAGCUCAACUGUGGGCGUGCGGGCGAUACGGGCAGACUGGAGUACUGCAGGGGAGACUGGAAUUCCUGGUGUAGCGGUGGAAUGCGCAGAUAUCAGGAGGAACACCGGUGGCGAAGGCGGGUCUCUGGGCAGUAACUGACGCUGAGGAGCGAAAGCGUGGGGAGCGAACAGG